CGGCGACCCGCGGGCGCUGCCGCCGCAGAUACCGAAGGGGCAGCGGUGCUGCGGGGAUUUCGAGACGUUGCACCGAGCGACUGAAAACGAAGAGGUGUCCAGGCUCGUGAAGAUGUCCUCGAUAGGCGAACCGGAGAGAGGAGAUAUCAGUGCAUAAAGGACUGGGCCCGGCACUUAACGUUUCGUGAAUGCAGCUUACUAAAUAAACGUAUUUUGUAUACUGGGAAUACCGAGGGUGGU